UACGGGGGGGCAAGCGUUGUUCGGAAUUACUGGGCGUAAAGGGCGCGUAGGCGGCCUGCUAAGUCGGAUGUGAAAUCCCUCGGCUCAACCGAGGAACUGCAUCCGAUACUGGCGGGCUUGAAUCCGGGAGAGGGAUGUGGAAUUCCAGGUGUAGCGGUGAAAUGCGUAGAUAUCAGGAGGAACACCGGUGGCGAAGGCGGAUCUCUGGGCCUUACCUGACGCUCAGGUGCGAAAGCUAGGGGAGCGAACAGG
rnacentral:rRNA from 1 species